rnacentral:rRNA from 1 species
UGGGGAAUAUUGGACAAUGGGCGAAAGCCUGAUCCAGCCAUGCCGCGUGCGUGAAGAAGGCCUUUUGGUUGUAAAGCACUUUAAGUGGGGAGGAAAAGCUUAUGGAUAAUACCCAUAGGUUCUGACGUUACCCACAGAAUAAGCACCGGCUAACUCUGUGCCAGCAGCCGCGGUAAUACAGAGGGUGCGAGCGUUAAUCGGAAUUACUGGGCGUAAAGCGAGCGUAGGUGGUUUAUUAAGUCAGAUGUGAAAUCCCUGGGCUUAACCUAGGAACUGCAUCUGAUACUGAUAAACUAGAGUAGGUGAGAGGAAAGUAGAAUUCCAGGUGUAGCGGUGAAAUGCGUAGAUAUCUGGAGGAAUACCGAUGGCGAAGGCAGCUUUCUGGCAUCAUACUGACACUGAGGUUCGAAAGCGUGGGUAGCAAACAGGAUUAGAUACCCUGGUAGUCCACGCCGUAAACGAUGUCUACCAGUCGUUGGGUCUUUUAAAGACUUAGUGACGCAGUUAACGCAAUAAGUAGACCGCCUGGGGAGUACGGCCGCAAGGUU